GUGCACCAAGGAAUCUUGUAACAUCCCAGCCUGUAAACACAGGUCACCAACGUGCUUCCGCAUCCGGCCUUGACAGCGUUUCUUAUAGUGCCUACUGUCUGUGUCCAGCCCUACAAAAUCCUUCUUCUCAAAAGGAACGCAGAGCAGCGGGAUCUUGUCUCCAGACUUAUCAGUGGCUCUAUCAAGCCGCUUAGACUCCAACACAAUGAAAAGGGAUUCAAUG
rnacentral:lncRNA from 1 species